rnacentral:rRNA from 2 species
UUUAAAGAGAGUUUGAUCCUGGCUCAGGACGAACGCUGGCGGCGUGCCUAAUACAUGCAAGUCGAACGAACGGAGGAAGAGCUUGCUCUUCCAAAGUUAGUGGCGGACGGGUGAGUAACACGUGGGCAACCUGCCUGUAAGUUGGGGAUAACUCCGGGAAACCGGGGCUAAUACCGAAUGAUAAAGUGUGGCGCAUGCCACGCUUUUGAAAGAUGGUUUCGGCUAUCGCUUACAGAUGGGCCCGCGGUGCAUUAGCUAGUUGGUAGGGUAAUGGCCUACCAAGGCAACGAUGCAUAGCCGACCUGAGAGGGUGAUCGGCCACACUGGGACUGAGACACGGCCCAGACUCCUACGGGAGGCAGCAGUAGGGAAUCUUCCGCAAUGGACGAAAGUCUGACGGAGCAACGCCGCGUGUAUGAAGAAGGUUUUCGGAUCGUAAAGUACUGUUGUUAGAGAAGAACAAGGAUAAGAGUAACUGCUUGUCCCUUGACGG